ACAAGUAGAAGCCAGGAUACCCAGCUGCUUUUGGUGAGCUCCAGUUUGCUUCGGGGCUUUCCGUGUCAUAUCCAGCCACUUUUGGUAUUGUAUAGAAGUUAGUUAUAUGGCGGGGUGUGUCCCGACCUUAGUUAAACUCUGUAUAUUGUCUAGAGGCUUUGUAGACCUAUUGUACAGUCAAGGUGGUGUUUUGUUAAUAGACGU
rnacentral:lncRNA from 1 species